GCUUCUGUAGCUCAGUGGUUAGAGCACUGGUCUUAUGAGCCAGUGGUCGGCGGUUCGACCCCGCCCUGAAGCA
rnacentral:tRNA from 1 species